rnacentral:misc_RNA from 1 species
UGUGACGUCAUGAGGGAAAGCAUG